GGCUGGUUAGCUCAGUCAGUUGAGUGUGGCGCUAACAACGCCAGGGUCAUGGGUUCAAUUCCUGAUUGGUCC
rnacentral:tRNA from 1 species